rnacentral:rRNA from 1 species
AGGCUUAACACAUGCAAGUCGAGGGGCAGCAUGGUCUUAGCUUGCUAAGGCCGAUGGCGACCGGCGCACGGGUGAGUAACACGUAUCCAACCUGCCGUCUACUCUUGGACAGCCUUCUGAAAGGAAGAUUAAUACAAGAUGGCAUCAUGAGUCCACAUGUUCACAUGAUUAAAGGUAUUCCGGUAGACGAUGGGGAUGCGUUCCAUUAGAUAGUAGGCGGGGUAACGGCCCACCUAGUCUUCGAUGGAUAGGGGUUCUGAGAGGAAGGUCCCCCACAUUGGAACUGAGACACGGUCUAAACUCCUACGGGAGGCAGCAGUGAGGAAUAUUGGUCAAUGGGCGAGAGCCUGAACCAGCCAAGUAGCGUGAAGGAUGACUGCCCUAUGGGUUGUAAACUUCUUUUAUAAAGGAAUAAAGUCGGGUAUGCAUACCCGUUUGCAUGUACUUUAUGAAUAAGGAUCGGCUAACUCCGUGCCAGCAGCCGCGGUAAUACGGAGGAUCCGAGCGUUAUCCGGAUUUAUUGGGUUUAAAGGGAGCGUAGAUGGAUGUUUAAGUCAGUUGUGAAAGUUUGCGGCUCAACCGUAAAAUUGCAGUUGAUACUGGAUAUCUUGAGUGCAGUUGAGGCAGGCGGAAUUCGUGGUGUAGCGGUGAAAUGCUUAGAUAUCACGAAGAACUCCGAUUGCGAAGGCAGCCUGCUAAGCUGCAACUGACAUUGAGGCUCGAAAGUGUGGGUAUCAAACAGGAUUAGAUACCCUGGUAGUCCACACGGUAAACGAUGAAUACUCGCUGUUUGCGAUAUACAGCAAGCGGCCAAGCGAAAGCGUUAAGUAUUCCACCUGGGGAGUACGCCGGCAACGGUGAAACUCAAAGGAAUUGACGGGGGCCCGCACAAGCGGAGGAACAUGUGGUUUAAUUCGAUGAUACGCGAGGAACCUUACCCGGGCUUAAAUUGCAGAUGAAUUACGGUGAAAGCCGUAAGCCGCAAGGCAUCUGUGAAGGUGCUGCAUGGUUGUCGUCAGCUCGUGCCGUGAGGUGUCGGCUUAAGUGCCAUAACGAGCGCAACCCUUGUUGUCAGUUACUAACAGGUCAUGCUGAGGACUCUGACAAGACUGCCAUCGUAAGAUGUGAGGAAGGUGGGGAUGACGUCAAAUCAGCACGGCCCUUACGUCCGGGGCUACACACGUGUUACAAUGGGGGGUACAGAGGGCCGCUACCACGCGAGUGGAUGCCAAUCCCAAAAACCUCUCUCAGUUCGGACUGGAGUCUGCAACCCGACUCCACGAAGCUGGAUUCGCUAGUAAUCGCGCAUCAGCCACGGCGCGGUGAAUACGUUCCCGGGCCUUGUACACACCGCCCGUCAAGCCAUGGGAGCCGGGGGUACCUGAAGUGCGUAACCGCGAGGAGCGCCCUAGGGUAAAACUGGUGACUGGGGCUAAGUCGUA